GCACGCGCAGUCACCACAAUCACCUUCCGGGUCCAAGUGCGGCGUUCGCGUCUCCACGCUCUGCGCGUGCCUGCGUGGGGGGCUUAGGCGGCCACAGAGAGCCCUCAGGUGAGGAAAUGCAGUUCCAGGUGGAGUGGAAGUAAGACCUGAAAAUUACUCCUGAAUAUUUUUAUCUCCUGGCAUCCUGUUCCAAUGAGUUUGUGAAAGCUGGACAACAUGGUGUUCUAUCAAGAAAAUGUCUAUGAGGG